UAGGGAAUCUUCGGCAAUGGACGAAAGUCUGACCGAGCAACGCCGCGUGAGUGAAGAAGGUUUUCGGAUCGUAAAACUCUGUUGUUAGAGAAGAACAAGGACGUUAGUAACUGAACGUCCCCUGACGGUAUCUAACCAGAAAGCCACGGCUAACUACGUGCCAGCAGCCGCGGUAAUACGUAGGUGGCAAGCGUUGUCCGGAUUUAUUGGGCGUAAAGCGAGCGCAGGCGGUUUCUUAAGUCUGAUGUGAAAGCCCCCGGCUCAACCGGGGAGGGUCAUUGGAAACUGGGAGACUUGAGUGCAGAAGAGGAGAGUGGAAUUCCAUGUGUAGCGGUGAAAUACGUAGAUAUAUGGGAGAACACCAGUGGCGAAGGCGGCUCUCUGGUCUGUAACUGACGCUGAGGCUCGAAAGCGUGGGGAGCAAACAGG
rnacentral:rRNA from 1 species